AGUGCCAGCAGUCACCAGUGAAGAAAGUAUGGCAUACACCAGCAAGAUGAUCGUACUUGCUACAAGAGAGGAGGAAAUUCUACAAGGCAGGGAUGAGUCAGGAGGAUAUGAUACCAAAGGAAAUGAGCUAAUCACGAAGAAAUGCUUGCUGAGUGACUCCGUCUAUUUGAGGUUGAUCCUGAAAGCUUUGGCUUCCUUCCUCCUGGAGCCAUGCAUUACCGAGGAAGAAUUCCAGGCUCCCCCAGAGAAAAGCUGCACAGAGACACCCUGGAAGAUGAGAAAGCAGAUGGAGUGAAGCCUGUGGAGGAGCACUCGGGGAUCAAACCUAACAGGCUACCUGGAGCUGAACUUCCCCUUGACUGUAGCGUCAGAAGUCGCAGAAGAGACACCUACAAACUAUGGCAAGAUAAAAUAAACUCAUUGCUGUUUUAGCUCACUAAAGUUCUAGACAUACUGCAUAGUAUAACUAGCCCACCCUAUUUUGAGUGUGGAUAUUUAGCAAUAUUCAGCAAGAGACCCUGGGAGGUCUGGACCCAUGGCAGGAUCUGGGUGAAAUAAAUCAACAUGAUGAUUGUCAGCGAUGGAGGGAAAUGCCAAAAGUAGACCAGCAACCCAGAAAAAGAAGACAUAAUCACAUCAUGCUUUAUUCAAAAAGAGCCAAAUACUACACAAAUUUACAUAGACAGUUCCUCAAAAGAGUGCAUCCAUUUCCUCUUUUUAAAAAUUAUCCCAGAGGGAAGAGGAGGAGGAGAGAGAAUAAGAACUCAAUGAUGAAAAAUUAAAUUGCCUAAGUUGUGGUUUGGGGGCGUUUGACUAAGCAAGUGAUCACCUUAAGUAAGUUGCUUUUUAUGUUUCUGGGAUAACGUGCUUUGUUUGGCAUAAGGGAACCAUCUAUUUCCCACUACUUUAACUGUAUGAGGCUCUGCCAAACCCCAGAACAGUUAAAUGUUCAGGAAGAGAGGGUCUCACAUAUGCCCAUGUUGGUUGGUUUUGUCAACCUGACACAAACCUAGACAUAGCUCAGAAGAGGGAAUCUUAACUGAGAGUAAGUUUCUAUCAGAUUGGCAUGCUUGCAAGUCUGUGGCGCUUUAUCUUGCUCAAUGAUUGAUGUGGAAAGGACCAGCCCCUUAGGGGUGGCGCCAACCUUUGGUAAGUGGUUCUGGUGUUGUAUAAGAAAACCAACUGAGCUAUCCAGAAGAAGCAAGGCAGUAGGUAGCACUCAUCUACAUUCUCUGCAUCAGCUUCUGACUCCAUAUUCUGAUUGAGUUCCUGCCUUGACUUCCCUGGGUGAUAGACUACAAACUAUAAGCUGCAAUAAACCCUUUCCUUCCC
rnacentral:lncRNA from 1 species